AUAUUUGUUUUCUUUAGGAUAAGUUUGUGUUUAUUUCCUUUAUUUUGUUUUCUUUCAAAAUGUAUAUCUACGGCGUAGGAAGGUAUAAAUUUAAAGUUUUGUUUCACAUGUCUUUUAUUUUGGGCACUUCCCAUAGUUGCCUAGGUGUAUCUCUGUUCUUAUGCUUCUUUAUUUCCCCACCUUUGACAUAUUUAAAACAUUUCUGAUUGAUCUUAAUGUUAUUUAACUUGCAGAUUAAGCACGAAAUCUCCACCAUGAAAUUAUUCAGACACCCAAAUGUCAUCCGCAUGUAUGAGGUUAUGGCCAGCAAAAUGAAGAUAUAUAUCGUUAUGGAAUUUGUUAUUGGAGGUGAACUCUUUGACAAAAUUGCCACUAAAGGCAGGCUGAAAGAAGAUGAAGCAAGAAAAUAUUUUCAGCAACUCAUCAAUGCAGUAGAUUACUGCCACAGCAGAGGCGUCUGCCACAGAGACCUGAAGGUGAGGAUGUAACUUUAUUUUUAGUUGCUCGCUUCAUUUUUUUUUUUAGAAAAUUGGAAUUGUUGUAUUUUUUGGGACAACAAAAGACCGGUUUUAAUUUCAUUUCAUGAUUUAUAGCCAGAGAAUUUGUUGCUGGAUGCCAAUGGAGUUCUUAAAGUUUUAGACUUUAGAUUGAGUGCUCUACCUCAGCAAGUUCGGGAAGAUGGGUUGCUUCACACAACAUUUGGAACACCAAAUUAUGUUGCUCAUGAGGUGAUCAACAAUAAAGGUUAUGAUGGAGCUAAGGCAGAUCUCUAGUCAUGUGGUGUUAUCCUUUUCGUCCUUAUGGCUGGCUAUCUGCCUUUCGAAGAAUCAAACCUUAUGGCAUUAUAUAAAAAGGCUUGUAAAUUGUAACGGUGGGAUUCUCAACGGCAUGAUUCCACCAUUCUCGUCAAAAUUCUGCUUCUCAAGUAAGCAAUGGCUUACCUAACUUGUUAUUAAAUAUAUUGGAAAUGUUUGAAGCCUUGUCGGCUUAUAUAAUUGUGGCCUGGUCGGCUUAUAUGAUUGGUUAUUGUAGGAUCAAUUGCACAGGAACACAUAGUAACUAUAUUGAAAACGUUAAUUGUGAAAUGAUUGAGAUAUUUUGUGAAAAGAAGUUUUUCCAAAUUGAAGUUGAUCAAAACUUACCUCCGAUCAACUAUGUCACAAGAAAGAUUGAACGAAUUAACUAUGUUGUUAAUAGAGAAAGAAAUGGUUGAACAACUAAAUUAUUCAGAUUUAAUGUUUUUGCAUCUAAAACAGCAAGACAAAUAUUAUUUAAAUGAUUGUUUGAAACGUUGUUAGUUUUGUUAUUUUAUAAUAUAAUUUUUUUGUACAAUAUAUGUUUUUGUUGUUAUACUGUUAAGUUUUAAGUUAGCAAUAUGUUGCAUAAUACACAAUAAGUUUUGUUGAAUUUUGCAUUUAAGUUGAUUUUUGGGGGGGGGGCCUAAUUUUUGGAG